GGCCAAUGUCUAGACCCAAAAAACAUUAGCACUAAAACCCAUGAUUGAGAUCCAAGCCAUUACCCUCAAAACUAAUAUAAAUCAAAAGAGCCAGCCCCAUUAGAAAACCACUCACUCUCGUUCCUCAGCCUCUCCAACCUCGAGCCCAAUAUAGAUCCAUGGAGGCCAGGCCACCAAUAAACACAAAUUUCAAUUUUCAAAAACCAAACAAUUUCAUUAUUACCGUUACGCAGGAUAAAAAUAUAGUAUCAUAUAUCACCAAAUGUUGCUUCAUCCACGGGAGCAGAUGAAGAUGAUGAGUUUGUUUGUGACUCAAUCUUCUCAACAAAGUGCUCUGCAGAGUUAUCUUCAAGAUUAUGCUUAUCGUCAUCAUGUAGUUUCAGAUUAUACUUUAAAAGCUGAUAGGGCAUUAUCAUCCAUUGAAGGGCAUGGUAUGGAGGUUAUCAAUUGUGGUGGUUGUACUAGUGCUCUUCAUCUGCACCAUCUCCUUCCUCCUCCUUUCAUCCUCCACCACCGCCGCCGCCGCCGCCAAUUCUCGGUCUUCCGCCUAUGGCUCCCAGAUCAAGUUGGAACAACUUUGGAGAGGUGCUGCUGAUUCUGGUGAUUGGAGGUCAUCUUCUGUGCCACGAUCUCAUUGGCCUCGCAUAAUUUUUGGUUGUCUUUUACCUUGUGGCAGCUCCUCCAGCUCCAAGUGAGAGUAAUGGCUAUCUGCUUGUUCGCUGUAAUGGUGGUCUGAACCAGCAACGUAUUGGGAUUGUUAAUUUGGUUCUCGUUGCACGAAUCAUGAAUGCAACACUAGUACUACCUGAGUUGGGCACAAACUCCUUUUGGCAUGAUAACAGGUAUCUAUUUUCAAAUAGUGACUUCCCAAAGAACAUGUGUGCUUGUUUUUCUAUUCUGUUAAUUUCCUUUGUGAAUCUUGGCCUAUAAAAAGAAACAAAAGAUGUGUGCACAUCUGACUUUAAUUUCUUUGACAUAUUUUCAAAAAAAAUUUCUAACUUUUUAUUAUUUUCUUCCUUAAUAUUUGGGGUGGGUGAUGUACAUAUUAGCAAUCACACAAGUCCAAAGAGACUAACUGCUGCUCCUACUUAGUUCCUUGUUUGUUAAAGCUUGUAACUGAAGCAAUUUGAGGUUUAGACUCUGUAGAUUUAGCAGUUUCUGGACCUUUUAAGUAUUGCAAUUUGGAGGGAAAAAUGGUGGAUUUAUGGGGGUGUAGGGCCCACAUAAAAAGCUGCAUAUAAAAGCCUUCUAGAAGUGUUGAAAGGGAUUUUCUUAUUGGACUUUCUGGGAGCAGUUUCAUGGCAAGCUCCCAGUGAUCCCAUUCAUGCACAAUUUGAUGGUCACUCUCUUGUAGAUCUACUGGAUAACAUUCCUCUGGUUUUUAAAGAUUUGCCUUUAGUAUGCUUCAACAGUGCUGAUUGGGGAUUAUAAUAAAUUUAAUGAGGUAAUGAGCUCUAGCUUAGAUGGAACCUCUUUUUCUUGUAAGAGCAAGGUGAAGGGUGAGAUCAUGGAUUCAAAACCAUUGGUUGUGUGUAUGACUUACCUAAAAAAUAAAUUUAUAUUGAACAGUAAAUGAAGUCUGAUUUUAAAAUUUUUUGAAUGAGAAUACUGUUAACGGUUAACCUCAAACAUAUGAUAUUGUGAUAAAUAGGUGCUUGAAUAUAUUUACACCUAAAGAGCAAGAGAUAUUGAAGAAAGUAUAGAAAGGACAAUUUUAAAUUGAAAGUACUCAAUUAUGGCAAAAGGAGGACCAUUGGAAAAUGCCCAUUAACUCCACAAGAGGUGAUCUUGCUUGUCACAGUUUUUCAAUCUGUUUCUGGAAAUUUUUUAGUUUUUAUUCCUUACAUUGCCAGGCAGAGCUUGUCAAGGGUUCUUAGAAGAUUAAUAUGUUACACAUGGAAUGAGUGACUUCAUUGUGGUGACUUGUGGUAUUUUCCUGAUGAUUUUGGUAAUAGGCCAUGGACUGGCCAUGCGUUAAUUUUGUCAUGUCUCUUUUCGCUGCAGGUUGGUCUUAUUCUACAUGCAAUGGGGUUUGACAAUUCUACUCAAAUAUACCUAGCUUCAGGGGAACUUUUUGGUAGGCAUCGAUUCAUGAAACCAUUUCAGAUGCUUUUUCCUCGCCUUGAGAACCAUAGCUCUGUGGAACAUACAGAUGAGCUUGUUGAGAACACCGGGGGGCUUUUACAGUCUGCUGUUGAUUACAUGUUUUGUCUCCAGUCGAACAUUUUCAUGCCAACAUAUGAUGGUCCAAGCAACUUCGCAAACAAUCUCCUUGGAUACCGCCUCUACAAUGGCUUCCAGGCUACAAUCAGACCUGACAGGAAAGCUCUAGCCCUUAUCUUCAUUAAUUGGGAGAAAGGGCGGAGAGAAAGUUUUGAUGAAGCUGUUAGGCGUGUCAUGCUCAAAAAAAACUUUGGUAGACCCCAUCAACGGGUUUGAUCAGAGUCUUUCUAUGCAAAUCCUUGGCCUGAAUGUUUCUGUCAAACUUCACCACAGAAUCCUGCAGACAAAUGUCCCCCAGAUGAUCUGCAAAUUCUAAGCAGCCAGUUGAAGAGUGAAACAACUGAUGACUUGAAACCAUUGACCCCAUUGAACUCGACAGUAUCUGAGGUAGAAAGAUUAGAAAUUUGACUUCUAGCUGGUGUUAUUCUACCUCAGUGAUGAACCUUCAUAUAUCAAAAUGAAAAGAACGGGUUUUCUCAACCAUAUUGACCUUUCAGUUACUUUUGCUGGCCUUCAUCUCAAGAGAUAUGGUUAGUAAAUCUGUUAGGUGUUGGAGAUUCAUGUUUCCUGAGGUUUGGACCACAGAAAUACUGUCAUACAGAUAAUGAAGAGGAGUUCAAUGCUUUGAGUUGGCCAGAGUACACAUGAACUGGAGUUUUUAAAAAAUUACUAAUUGAUUAUGAAUGAUAUCUGGUUGACUUGCUCAAUAGGGAAAGGCUGUAUCACUGACCAUAAUUUAACAACAGUGUUUAGGCCUGGUUUGAUCAAUAAUAUGCUUGUAGCUGUAGGUUACAUUUUGUCACAUCUUUAUUAAGUUAGUUUGAUGUAUAUUAUAAAGAGUUUGUUCAAAGUAACUCCAUUAAUACAACUCGAGCAAUGUGCUCAAGAAUGAAGACACAAAUCAGUCAUCCGCUAAUAAGUUUGAAGAA